UACGAAGGGUGCAAGCGUUAAUCGGAAUUACUGGGCGUAAAGGGUGCGUAGGCGGUUUGUUAAGUCUGUUGUGAAAUCCCCGGGCUCAACCUGGGAAUGGCAAUGGAUACUGGCAAGCUAGAGUGUGUCAGAGGAUGGUGGAAUUCCCGGUGUAGCGGUGAAAUGCGUAGAGAUCGGGAGGAACAUCAGUGGCGAAGGCGGCUCACUGGACCGUAACUGACGCUCAUGCACGAUAGCGUGGGGAGCAAACAGG
rnacentral:rRNA from 1 species